rnacentral:rRNA from 1 species
UACGUAGGGGGCAAGCGUUGUCCGGAUUUAUUGGGCGUAAAGCGCUCGCAGGUGGUUCGUCGCGUCGUGCGUGAAAGACCCCGGCUCAACUGGGGAGGGUCGUGCGAUACGGGCGAACUGGAGGCCAGUAGGGGGAUGCGGAAUUCCGGGUGUAGUGGUGGAAUGCGUAGAGAUCCGGAGGAACACCAGCGGCGAAGGCGGCAUCCUGGACUGGUCCUGACACUCAGGAGCGAAAGCGUGGGGAGCGAUCCGG